AAAAAUAGUGUGGACAAAAAACACGACACUUAGUGUAGCGUCUUUUUGGCUACACAAAUAGUGUACUUCAAGGCUACACUUGCGCGCUUUAAAGCCACACUUGUAAUUAUGAAAUUAAACUUCAUUAUAUGCGUAAAAAAAGCCACACUUAGUGUGCACUUUGUUGGAUUCUCGUAUCGAAUUAUUCGGAAAGGAGACUAGAAUCAUGUUUUUAGCGACAUGUUUUUUUUUAAGAACCAUUUUCAGUUUUACUGAAAAUUUUAGUUAACUUUUAUUGCUGCAUGGUAAUUUUAAACACAUACAUAGUUAACUUUUUCAUAAAAAAAUAUUUGGUUUGUAAUAUUUUAGUAAUAUCGUAUUAAAUAUGUUAAGCGAGGAAAAUAUCGAUUUUCAGUUGUUAAAAAUUAGAAGAUGCAGCUUUUCUUGCAUUUAAGGCGCUCCCUUUUCUUAUGAUAGCACCUCCACAGAAGAGCAAGAAGAGUCCAAGAAUUUGGGUAUAUUUUAUAGAGAAAUGGAUGUACACCUCAGUCUUGAAAGCUCCCUUGAGAAUUGAAGGAGAAAGUUUUUCUACUGAUUUUAUUCAAGUGUUGCAGCACUCUAUUUAUAAUUCAAAUUAUAACUCUAAUUAUAAGUCGAUAAUACAGCUAUACGGUUGAAAGCCAUACCGAGUAUUAGAUUUGCUUUUGAGUUGCAGCUAGUCUCUUAUUAUGUAUUUAAUGUCAAUUUUCCUCAUGAACUUAUUUGUGUAUAUAGAUUUAUGGGAAAUUUGCUUGGAAUAAACAACAAAAGAAUUAUCGUCAAUUCCUUUUAAAGAAAGUAUUGCCAAAAGUUUAAGAUUAAAUUAAGCAAUAUGUUUGUGAAACGAAAAAGUAUUUUUAUCACUUUCUUGUUUAUUUUUGUUAUAUCGUCAGCCGAGAACCAAGAGACCGUAUGUCUUUUUUUUUGUGUUUCCAAGAAAAUCAAGUUUCAAAUUUUAAUUUGCAAAGUCUUUCUUCCAGAAAAUUCGACUGAUUAUUUAAAUAUUUCCUAAAAUUUUAUUGUUGUGGUAUAUUUAUGAAACACACACUCCUGAAUAUUUAUUGAUAAUGGACAAAAAAAAAACACAAAAUGUUGAUAUACGAUUCUUCUCUGACGGCGGUAUCUAUUUUUCAAGGUUUUAACUCGCUUUUGCAUAUAAAUGUUUUAAGACUUGUUUUUAAUUUAGUAUUCACUGAAUUGAGUUUGAGUUUGAACUGAGUUUAUAUACUUAAAAGAAAUACUAUAACAAUGUAUUGACUCGGAAUUAAAAUAAAAUUUAUAUUUCAGUUUUUAUUAUUUUAUUGUGAUAUCGUUCCGUUAUUUCUUGUAAGCCAAUAUAAUAUACAUGUGUAAUUUAGUAUGACUCUAAAUGACAAUGUGUAAUUUAUUAUAUGAUAUAAAUAGCAUUCUUUAUUUGAAUUAUUUAAUUGCACCCGGUUAUAUACAUAGUACAUGAAGACCUAAAUGGGCGGAAUAAAUCACGCAUAAAUAUACUUACAAAAAAUCAAAACAUUUUUAACGUCUAGAAAAACACAGAUUAGUGUUUAAACCUUCGACCAUAUAAACUGAUAGACACGCCUUACCGCAAGUAAAUAUUCACACAACUUUGAAGCCAACAUCUUUUAGCGCGUGACGUCACGUUUGGGCAUUAAACAAUUUAUAAUAUCGGUUUAGGGUGAAUGUAUUUAACAUUUUUAAAGUUUUAUUAUUUGUUAUGUUAUUAUUUUGUUUAAAUUUUGAUUUUCAAAUAGAAUAUAGAUAUAUAAAGAUCAUGAUGUUAUCUUGUUUUGCAUAUAAUUGCACUUAAAGAUAUAUUAAAAGGGUUUCUUUUCAUGUUUUUCUGAAAGAUAUGGAAUUGAGGAGAAAAUGGAUACAAGUUAUGUGGAGUGAUGGUUUUACUCCUAGUAAACUGUCUAAACGUUGUGGUAAAUAUUUCACUGGUAUAAAGGAAGUCUUUCGAGUUCACAAAAGAAAC